rnacentral:rRNA from 1 species
AUUUCCUUCGGGACUGAUUAUUUUGUGACUGAGUGGCGGACGGGUGAGUAACGCGUGGGUAACCUGCCUUGUACAGGGGGAUAACAGUUGGAAACGGCUGCUAAUACCGCAUAAGCGCACAGUACCGCAUGGUACGGUGUGAAAAACUCCGGUGGUGUGAGAUGGACCCGCGUCUGAUUAGCUAGUUGGCAGGGCAACGGCCUACCAAGGCGACGAUCAGUAGCCGACCUGAGAGGGUGACCGGCCACAUUGGGACUGAGACACGGUCCAGACUCC